GACGAACGCUGGCGGCGUGCCUAACACAUGCAAGUCAACUUGACUGAAGGAGCAAUCUGACAGUAGAGUGGCGCAAGGGUGCGUAACGCGUAAGUAACUUGCCCAAGGUAAGGAAUAACGUCGAGAAAUCGGCGCUAAUACCUCAUAAUGCAGCGGAUCCGCAUGGAUAUGUUGUUAAAGGUUUACCGCCUUGGGAUAGGCUUGCGUCUGAUUAGUUAGUUGGUGUGGUAACGGCACACCAAGGCUACGAUCAGUAACUGGUCUGAGAGGAUGAUCAGUCACACUGGAACUGAGACACGGUCCAGACUCCUACGGGAGGCAGCAGUGAGGAAUAUUGGGCAAUGCUCGAAAGAGUGACCCAGCAACGCCGCGUGGAGGAUGAAGGUAUUCUAUAUCGUAAACUCCUGUGAGAGCAGACGAAAGACAGAUUAUUAAUCUGGAUGACUGUAUGCUCAGAGGAAGCCCGGCUAACUACGU
rnacentral:rRNA from 1 species